UACGUAGGGGGCAAGCGUUGUCCGGAUUUAUUGGGCGUAAAGAGCUCGUAGGUGGUUCGGUAAGUCGGAUGUGAAAUCUCCAGGCUCAACCUGGAGGGGUCAUUCGAUACUGCCGUGACUAGAGGUCGGUAGGGGAGUGUGGAAUUCCUGGUGGAGCGGUGAAAUGCGCAGAUAUCAGGAGGAACACCUGUGGCGAAAGCGGCGCACUGGACCACAACUGACGCUGAGGCGCGAAAGCUAGGGGAGCAAACAGG
rnacentral:rRNA from 1 species